AUGGACAAGUACGAGAAGCUGGAGAAGGUGGGGGAGGGCACCUACGGCAAGGUGUACAAGGCGCGGGUGGCGGCGACGGGGCAGCUGGUGGCGCUCAAGAAGACCCGCCUCGAGAUGGACGAGGAGGGGAUCCCGCCCACCGCGCUGCGCGAGAUCUCCCUCCUCCGCCUCCUCUCCGCCUCCCUCUACGUCGUCCGCCUCCUCUCCGUCGAGCAGGUCACCAAGCCCUGCGGCAAGACCGUCCUCUACCUCGUCUUCGAGUUCCUCGACACCGACCUCAAGAAGUUCGUCGACGGCUUCCGCAAGGGGCCCUCGCCCAGGCCGCUCCCCACGCAGGUUGUCAAGAGUUUCUUAUACCAGUUGUGCAAAGGAACUGCACAUUGCCAUGGCCAUGGCGUCCUUCACCGGGAUUUAAAGCCACAAAACUUGUUGAUCGACAAGGAGAAAGGGGUACUGAAAAUUGCCGAUCUUGGGCUAAGCAGAGCUUUUACUGUUCCCAUGAAAAGUUACACCCAUGAGAUUGUGACGCUCUGGUAUAGAGCUCCUGAAGUUUUACUUGGAGCCACACAUUACUCAACUGGUGUUGACAUUUGGUCCAUCGGUUGCAUCUUUGCUGAAAUGGUCAGAAGACAAGCUCUUUUUCCUGGCGACUCCGAGUUGCAACAGCUGCUUCACAUUUUCAGGUUGUUGGGGACUCCUAAUGAAGAGAAGUGGCCUGGAGUAUGUGCUCUGAGAGACUGGCAUGACUAUCCACAGUGGAAGCCACAACAUUUGUCACGUGCAGUUCCAACACUGGAGCCUGAAGGACUCGACCUGUUAGCGAAAAUGCUUCAGUUUGAUCCAGCGAACAGGAUCUCAGCUAAAGCGGCAAUGGACCAUCCCUACUUCGACAGCCUCGACAAGUCCCAGUUCUAG
rnacentral:rRNA from 1 species